rnacentral:rRNA from 1 species
GUGGGGAAUAUUGGGCAAUGGGCGCAAGCCUGACCCAGCAACGCCGCGUGAAGGAAGAAGGCUUUCGGGUUGUAAACUUCUUUUACCAGGGACGAAACAAAUGACGGUACCUGGUGAAUAAGCCACGGCUAACUACGUGCCAGCAGCCGCGGUAAUACGUAGGUGGCGAGCGUUAUCCGGAUUUAUUGGGUGUAAAGGGCGUGUAGGCGGGACAGCAAGUCAGAUGUGAAAACCAGAGGCUCAACCUCUGGCCUGCAUUUGAAACUGUUGUGCUUGAGUGUCGGAGAGGGAAUCGGAAUUCCGUGUGUAGCGGUGAAAUGCGUAGAUAUACGGAGGAACACCAGUGGCGAAGGCGGAUUACUGGACGAUAACUGACGCUGAGGCGCGAAAGCGUGGGGAGCAAACAGGAUUAGAAACCCCUGUAGUCC